rnacentral:rRNA from 1 species
UACGUAGGGAGCAAGCGUUGUCCGGAAUCAUUGGGCGUAAAGGGCUCGUAGGCGGUCCAUCACGUCGGGAGUGAAAAGCUGGGGCUUAACCCCAGUCCUGCUUCCGAUACGGGUGGACUAGAGGUAGGCAGGGGAGAACGGAAUUCCUGGUGUAGCGGUGAAAUGCGCAGAUAUCAGGAGGAACACCGGUGGCGAAGGCGGUUCUCUGGGAAUGUCCUGACGCUGAGGAGCGAAAGUGUGGGGAGCGAACAGG